AACGUACGCUGGCGGCACGCCUAACACAUGCAAGUCGAACGAAGUAGCAAUACUUAGUGGCAGACGGGUGAGUAACAUGUAGGUAUCUGCCCUUUGGCCUGGAAUAACACGAGGAAACUUGUGCUAAUACCGGAUAAGUCUUUACGGAGAAAGCUUUAUGCACCAUUGGAUGAGCCUGCACUUGAUUAGUUUGUUGGUGGGGUAAUGGCCUACCAAGACUGUGAUCAAUAGCUGAUUUGAGAGGAUGAUCAGCCACAUUGGGACUGAGACACGGCCCAAACUCCUACGGGAGGCAGCAGUGGGGAAUCUUGCACAAUGGAGGAAACUCUGAUGCAGCGAUGCCGCGUGAGUGAAGAAGGCCUUUGGGUUGUAAAGCUCUUUCGUCGGGGAAGGAAAUGACUGUACCCGAAUAAGAAGGUCCGGCUAACUUCGUGCCAGCAGCCGCGGUAAUACGAAGGGACCUAGCGUAGUUCGGAAUUACUGGGCUUAAAGAGUUCGUAGGUGGUUGAAAAAGUUGGUGGUGAAAUCCCAGAGCUUAACUCUGGAACUGCCAUCAAAACUCUUCAGCUAGAGUAUGAUAGAGGAAAGCAGAAUUUCUAGUGUAGAGGUGAAAUUCGUAGAUAUUAGAAAGAAUACCAAUUGCGAAGGCAGCUUUCUGGAUCAUUACUGACACUGAGGAACGAAAGCAUGGGUAGCGAAGAGGAUUAGAUACCCUCGUAGUCCAUGCCGUAAACGAUGUGUGUUAGACGUUGGAAAUUUAUUUUCAGUGUCGCAGCGAAAGCGAUAAACACACCGCCUGGGGAGUACGACCGCAAGGUUAAAACUCAAAUGAAUUGACGGGGACCCGCACAAGUAGUGGAGCAUGUGGUUUAAUUCGAAGAUACGCGCAGAACCUUACCAACACUUGACAUGUUCGUCGCGACUUUGAGAGAUCAAAGUUUUCGGUUCGGCCGGACGAAACACAGGUGCUGCAUGGCUGUCGUCAGCUCGUGUCGUGAGAUGUUGGGUUAAGUCCCGCAACGAGCGCAACCCUCACUUUUAGUUGCCAUCAUUAAGUUGGGCACUCUGAAAGAACUGCCAGUGAUAAGCUGGAGGAAGGUGGGGAUGACGUCAAGUCCUCAUGGCCCUUACGUGUUGGGCUACACACGUGCUACAAUGGUAUCUACAACAGGAAGCAAAACCGCGAGGUUAAGCAAAUCCUUAAAAGAUACCUCAGUUCGGAUUGCACUCUGCAACUCGAGUGCAUGAAGCUGGAAUUACUAGUAAUCGUGGAUCAGCGUGCCACGGUGAAUGCGUUCCCGGGUCUUGUACACACCGCCCGUCACACCAUGGGAGUUGGUUCUACCUUAAGGCAAGGUUUAAAACCCUUGACCACGGUAUAGUCAGCGACUGGGGUG
rnacentral:rRNA from 1 species